GGUCGUGUAGCUCACUUGGCAGAGCCACUCAUUGAAGAAAAAACAUCGAGUUAAAUCCCAGUUUGAAUCUGGGCGCGACCA